rnacentral:rRNA from 1 species
GACGAACGCUGGCGGCGUGCCUAAUACAUGCAAGUAGAACGCACAGUUUAUACCGUAGCUUGCUACACCAUAGACUGUGAGUUGCGAACGGGUGAGUAACGCGUAGGUAACCUGCCUGGUAGCGGGGGAUAACUAUUGGAAACGAUAGCUAAUACCGCAUAAUAUUAAUUAUUGCAUGAUAAUUAAUUGAAAGGUGCAAUUGCACCACUACCAGAUGGACCUGCGUUGUAUUAGCUAGUAGGUGAGGUAACGGCUCACCUAGGCGACGAUACAUAGCCGACCUGAGAGGGUGAUCGGCCACACUGGGACUGAGACACGGCCCAGACUCCUACGGGAGGCAGCAGUAGGGAAUCUUCGGCAAGGGACGAAAGUCUGACCGAGCAACGCCGCGUGAGUGAAGAAGGUUGUCGGAUCGUAAAGCUCUGUUGUAAGAGAAGAACGGGUGUGAGAGUGGAAAGUUCACACUGUGACGGUAUCUUACCAGAAAGGGACGGCUAACUACGUG